UUUGGCUAUGGACAAUGGACUCCACAUAACGAAAAACUUACAAUCUAGUCGAUGCUCUUACGAGACACACUACUCAGGUUUAUCCAAAUUCUUGGACAGCCAUAUUGAUCUCCAUGGACAACCAAGGGAUGUGGAACCUGAGGUCUGCACAAUGGGAAGACAGUAUCUGGACAACAAUUUUACUUAAGAGUCUUUGACCCUGUGCGAAGUCUUACCACGAAUACGAUAUUCCUUCUAAUGUCUUACCUGUGGCAAAGCUGUUGGAAUUCGCCCUUAGAUUGAGUUAUAAACCCAUGGAGAGUGUUUGGUUGCAGAGAAAGUAGAUGUGGAUUAAAAUGUUCGAGUUUGUAUGUGUUUUUUCAUUUGUAUGUGAUGGAAAACUUGAUCAGUUGUACUGUAUUAGCUCCAAGGGAUUUAAUUAUAUAAAGUUAUAUAAGUUUUAAAUCAUAGUAUCAA